AUGCAAAUGAAACUGAUGGAAAUGAAAGAUUUGGAAAAUCAUAAUAGUCAGUUAAAUUGGUGCAGUAGCCCACACAGCAUUCUUGUAAACGGAGCUACAGAUUAUUGCAGCCUCAGCACCAGCAGCAGUGAAACAGCCAACCUUAAUGAACAUGUUGAAGGCCAGAGCAACCUAGAGUCUGAGCCCAUACACCAGGAAUCUCCAGCAAGAAGUAGUCCUGAACUACUGCCUUCUGGUGUGACUGAUGAAAAUGAGGUGACUACAGCUGUUACUGAAAAAGUUUGUUCUGAACUCGACAAUAAUAGACAUUCAAAAGAG
rnacentral:circRNA from 1 species